AUGGCCGCAGUAUUUUGACUGUGCAAAGGUAGCAUAAUUAUUAGUUUUUUAAUUGAAAGCUUGUAUGAAUGGUUGGACGAGAUAAAAUCUGUCUUUAUUUAAAUUAUAAUAGAAUUUAACUUUUAAGUCAAAAGGCUUAAAUGUUUAUAAAAGACGAGAAGACCCUAUAGAUCUUUAUUUAAUUGAAGUUUUAGUAGUUUAGGAUUAUUUUAAUUUAAAGUUUUAGUUAAAUUUUAUUGGGGUAAUAUGAAGAUUAAAAAAAUUCUUUUAAAUUAUUACAUUAAUUUAUGAAUAUAUGAUCCAGUAAUGUUGAUUAGAAGAUUAAGUUACCUUAGGGAUAACAGCGUAAUUUUUUUGGAGAGCCCAUAUCGAUAAAAAAGUUUGCGACCUCGAUGUUGGAUUAAAAGUUAGCUUGGGUGCAGAAGCUCGAGAUUUUGGUCUGUUCGACCAUUAAACUUUUACAUGAUCUGAGUUCAGACCGGCGUAAGCCAGGUCGGUUUCUAUCUUUAUUAAAAUAAAAUAUUUUAGUACGAAAGGACCAAGUAUUUAAUAUAGUUAUAUUUAUUUUUUGAAUAAUAUU
rnacentral:rRNA from 1 species